rnacentral:tRNA from 1 species
AUAUUAACAAAUUAAUGCUUUUAAGAAGUUAGAAAUUUCUUUUAGUUUAUUUCAAU